rnacentral:snRNA from 2 species
AGCUUUGCGCAGUGGCAUUACCGUAGCUGAUGAGGUCCAUCCGAGGCGCGGUUAUUGCUGAUUGAAAACUUUUCCCAAUACCCCGCGAGACGACUUGAAACAUAGUCGGCUUUGCAAUUUUUGUGGGCUCUGCUUAGGG